GGGGGCUAGCGUUAUCGGAUUUACUGGGCGUAAAGGGUGCGUAGGCGGUCUUUCAAGUCAGGAGUGAAAGGCUACGCUCAACCGUAGUAAGCUCUUGAAACUGUAAGACUUGAGUGCAGGAGAGGAGAGUGGAAUCCUAGUGUAGCGGUGAAAUGCGUAGAUAUUAGGAGGAACACCAGUUGCGAAGGCGGCUCUUGGACUGUAACUGACGCUGAGGCACGAAAGCGUGGGGAGCAAACAGGAUUAGAUACCCUGUAGUCCACGCCGUAAACGAUGAGUACUAGCUGUCGGAGGUUACCCCCUUCGGUGGCGCAGUAACGCAUUAAGUACUCCGCCUGGGAAGUACGCUCGCAAGAGUGAAACUCAAAGGAAUUGCGGGGACCCGCACAAGUAGCGGAGCAUGUGGUUUAAUUCGAAGCAACGCGAAGAACCUUACUAAGCUUGACAUCCCACUGACCCUUCCCUAAUCGGAAGCUUCCCUUCGGGGACAGUGGUACAGGUGGUGCAUGGUUGUCGUCAGCUCGUGUCGUGAGAUGUUGGGUUAAGUCCCGCAACAGCGCAACCCUUGCCUUUAGUUGCCAGCAUUAAGUUGGGCACUCUAGAGGGACUGCCAGGAUAACCUGGAGGAAGGUGGGGAUGACGUCAAAUCAUCAUGCCCCUUAUGCUUAGGGCUACCACGUGCUACAAUGGGUGGUACAGAGGGCAGCCAAGUCGUGAGGCGGAGCUAAUCCCUUAAGCCAUUCUCAGUUCGGAUUGUAGGCUGAAACUCGCCUACAUGAAGCUGGAGUUACUAGUAUCGCAGAUCAGAAUGCUGCGGUGAAUGCGUUCCCGGGUCUUGCACUCACCGCCCGUAA
rnacentral:rRNA from 1 species